rnacentral:tRNA from 1 species
GGUAGCGUAGCUUAGUUGGUUAGAGCGUUGGUCUUAUGAGCCGAAGGUCGCGAGUUCAGUCCCCGGUGGGACUA